CUUCUGUUCUAAUUGUCCUUCCAUUCCUGUUUCCUUUUCUGGAUAUGAUUUGUGCAAAUAUAUAUAUUGCUUCGCAUCGCUGAUAAUAGCUGUAUUUUUCAACAAGUGCUCUAGCUCCGUCGAUUUUGCAAUGUUAGCCUCAAAGAAGUCUCUCCAAAAGCUUUACCGGUGUUGUACCAUUUUUCCCUCGAUGAUCAAUUCAGGCGAUAGCUGGUUGCUCAAAGGGCACACUUCGUUCCAAGCUUCCUGUUCAGAAACUGCCAAUGAUGCACGAGAGAGGAUAUUUUGGAGUGGACAAAGAAGAAAUGUAUCUCGGGUUGGUUCCUUGACUCCGACAUGUGCAGUGUUUCGUGGGAAUUCUUUAGACAUUGAUAAUCUUUGCCAUGAUUGGCACUUGUCAAAUCGUUGUUACACUUCCCUAUCAAAUUACAAAUCAACAAGAGGAUCUUCUGAUAAGCUUUUAGGAAGCAUUCCCAAAUAUGUAAAGAUGGUGGAAGUCGGUCCAAGGGAUGGAUUACAAAAUGAGAAGGAUGUUGUACCUACUCAUGUGAAGGUUGAGUUGAUUAGGAUGUUAGUUUCUUCUGGGUUGCCUGUUGUCGAAGCAACGAGUUUUGUCUCACCAAAAUGGGUACCACAGCUAGCUGAUGCAACGGAUGUAAUGGCAGCAAUUAGAGAUCUCGAAGGUGCUAGAUUUCCAGUGUUGACUCCUAAUCUGAAAGGUUUCGAAGCAGCUGUUGCAACUGGAGCAAAGGAAGUUGCAAUCUUUGCAUCAGCAUCAGAAUCUUUCUCAAAGUCAAAUAUCAAUUGCAGCAUUGAAGAUAGUCUGAUUCGUUAUGGUGAUGUUGCCCUUGCUGCCAGCAAACUUUCAAUACCUGUUCGUGGAUAUAUAUCAUGUGUUGUGGGGUGUCCAGUAGAGGGAAUGAUAUCUCCAUCAAAAGUAGCAUAUGUUGCUAAACGACUUUGUGAUAUGGGUUGCUUUGAAAUUUCUCUUGGUGACACAAUUGGUGUUGGUACUCCUGGUACUGUAAUUCCAAUGCUUGAAGCUGUUCUUGAUGUUGUCCCUGUUGAUAAGCUUGCUGUGCACUUUCACGACACCUAUGGUCAAGCUCUUUCAAAUAUUCUAGCAUCACUCCUAAUGGGGAUCAACACUGUUGAUUCAUCAGUAUCUGGUCUUGGAGGUUGCCCAUAUGCUAAGGGGGCUUCUGGUAAUGUUGCUACUGAAGAUGUUGUCUACAUGCUCAAUGGUCUUGGAGUUGAGACGAAUGUGGAUCUCCAAAAGGUCAUAUUAGCAGGAAAUUUCAUCUGUAAGCAUUUGGGGCGGCCUUCUGGUUCAAAAGCAGCAAUUGCCUUGAGCAAAGUAACAGCUCAUGCCUCCAAACUUUAAGAUAUUACUAGAGCAGGAUGAUAUCACAAUCAUGGAAACAGGAAGAGACUUGUAACAACGACUCUCUCCAUCAAUUGGCUUCUUGUAUGAGAACUGAAACAUUUGAUGAGCACUAUAGUAAGCAAAGAGACCUUUUCACAUCUCACCACCACCACCAAAAGGAUCGCCGGACUGUCAUCGGCCAGCCGUACGCUGAAAAGCCACAUGUGUGAGGCUCACGUGCCCUUCCUUCCCGACGCGUGAGAUCUGACAGACGCUACUUCGCUGCUCACUCCACUUCGACACUGUUUUCGACCCACUUUUCGGCCAUCCCGUGCUGCUACCUGGUCCUUUGCUGAUUUGGUUGGACUCUCUUAUGUGUACAACUUUGGGUACCUCCUAUUCAUUUACGGUUCAUUUAUUUUUACUAUGGCAGAGGGUAAAAAGUCUUGAUUCCUAACUCUAAUAAUCAUUAAUUAUAAAUUAGUUCUGUAAAACUUGAUAGAACCAAUUAUCUUGCUUGGUCAAGGUCUUAUUUGUUGUUUAUCAAGACUAGAAGAUUGUAGAGCUAUAUCACUGGGAAUAAGAAGGAACUAGAUGAAAGUGAUUCAAUUUUUUUUCGAUGGGAAUCAGAUAAUUAUCUUGUUAUGAUAUGGUUACUUAAUUCUAUGCAAUCUCGUAUUUCCAAAUCCUAUUUGUUAAUUGAUACUACUGCAAAGAUAUGGAAGGCUUUGUCUUUAACUUAUUCCAAAAUUGGAAAUGGUACCCAAAUUUAUGGCAUUCGAAAUAAAAUCUAUGUUACUAAGCAAUGAGAAAUGACUAUCUCCCAAUUUUAUUCUGAGUUAUGUGGUUUAUGGUAAGAGCUUUACUAU